AUUGAACGCUGGCGGCAUGCCUUACACAUGCAAGUCGAACGGUAACAGGUCUUCGGAUGCUGACGAGUGGCGAACGGGUGAGUAAUACAUCGGAACGUGCCCGAUCGUGGGGGGAUAACGAAGCGAAAGCUUUGCUAAUACCGCAUAAGAUCCAAGGAUGAAAGCAGGGGACCGCAAGGCCUUGCGCGAACGGAGCGGCCGAUGGCAGAUUAGGUAGUUGGUGGGAUAAAAGCUUACCAAGCCGACGAUCUGUAGCUGGUCUGAGAGGACGACCAGCCACACUGGGACUGAGACACGGCCCAGACUCCUACGGGAGGCAGCAGUGGGGAAUUUUGGACAAUGGGCGAAAGCCUGAUCCAGCCAUGCCGCGUGCAGGAUGAAGGCCUUCGGGUUGUAAACUGCUUUGUACGGAACGAAAGACUCUGGUUAAUACCUGGGGUCCAUGACGGUACCGUAAGAAUAAGCACCGGCUAACUACGUGCCAGCAGCCGCGGUAAUCUCG
rnacentral:rRNA from 1 species